AUAGAAAGCCAUACCCCCAACCCUAAAUGCGCCCAAUUUCAUCUGAUCUAGGAAGCUAAGCCAACUAGGGUUGGGUCUAGUUAGUAUUUAGAUGGGAGAAAACCAGGCCCCUGUA
rnacentral:rRNA from 10 species